rnacentral:rRNA from 1 species
UGGGGAAUCUUGCGCAAUGCGCGAAAGCGUGACGCAGCAACGCCGCGUGGGGGAAGAAGGCCCUCGGGUUGUAAACCCCUUUCAGGGGGGACGAAGGUAAGGCCGGUGAACAGCCGGUCGGACUGACGGUACCCCCAGAAGAAGCUCCGGCUAACUACGUGCCAGCAGCCGCGGUAAUACGUAGGGGGCAAGCGUUGUCCGGAAUCAUUGGGCGUAAAGCGCGCGUAGGCGGCCCGGUAAGUCCGCUGUGAAAGUCCAGGGCUCAACCCUGGAAAGCCGGUGGAUACUGCCGGGCUAGAGUCCGGAAGAGGCGAGUGGAAUUCCUGGUGUAGCGGUGGAAUGCGCAGAUAUCAGGAGGAACACCAAUAGCGAAGGCAGCUCGCUGGGACGGUACUGACGCUGAGGUGCGAAAGCGUGGGGAGCAAACAGGAUUAGAUACCCCCGUAGUCC